rnacentral:misc_RNA from 1 species
UCCCCGUUACCGGGGCAGUCUGACUAGAAAAAUACAACUAGCCAUAAGGGUUGCGCUCGUUGAUGGACUUAACCAAACAUCUCACGACACGAGCUGACGACGGCCAUGCAACACCUGUCUCUUGGUUCAAUAAAGCACUCACUCCUUUCGGAGUAAUUCCAAGGAUGUCAAGCCUGGGUAAGGUUCUUCGCUUACCGUCGAAUUAAACAACACGCUCCACCGCUUGUGCGGGUCCCCGUCAAUUCCUUUAUGUUUUAGUCUUGCGACCGUACUCCACAGGCGGGAUACUUAACGCGUUAGCUUCGCUACUGAAGGGGUCGAUACCUCCAACAGCUAGUAUCCAUCGUUUACGGCGUGGACUAC